rnacentral:rRNA from 1 species
GAUCAUGGCUCAGGAUGAACGCUGGCGGCGUGCUUAACACAUGCAAGUCGAACGGACUUUAAAUGAAACCUAGUGAUUUUAAAGUUAGUGGCGGACGGGUGAGUAACGCGUGGGUAACCUGCCUUGUACUGGGGGACAACAGCUGGAAACGACUGCUAAUACCGCAUAAGCGCACAGCUUCGCAUGAAGCAGUGUGAAAAACUCCGGUGGUACAAGAUGGACCCGCGUCUGAUUAGCUGGUUGGUG